rnacentral:rRNA from 1 species
CACCNGUGGCGAAAGCGGCUCUCUGGUCUGUCACUGACGCUGAGGCUCGAAAGCGUGGGUAGCGAACAGGAUUAGAUACCCUGGUAGUCCACGCCGUAAACGAUGAGUGCUAGGUGUUAGGCCCUUUCCGGGGCUUAGUGCCGGAGCUAACGCAAUAAGCACUCCGCCUGGGGAGUACGACCGCAAGGUUGAAACUCAAAGGAAUUGACGGGGGCCCGCACAAGCGGUGGAGCAUGUGGUUUAAUUCGAAGCAACGCGAAGAACCUUACCAGGUCUUAACAUCCCGAUGCUAUUCUUAGAGAUAGGAAGUUACUUCGGUACAUCGGAGACAGGUGGUGCAUGGUUGUCGUCAGCUCGUGUCGUGAGAUGUUGGGUUAAGUCCCGCAACGAGCGCAACCCUUAUUGUUAGUUGCCAUCAUUAAGUUGGGCACUCUAGCGAGACUGCCGGUAAUAAACCGGAGGAAGGUGGGGAUGACGUCAAAUCAUCAUGCCCCUUAUGACCUGGGCUACACACGUGCUACAAUGGUCGGUACAACGAGUUGCGAGCCGGUGACGGCAAGCUAAUCUCUGAAAGCCGAUCUCAGUUCGGAUUGGAGGCUGCAACUCGCCUCCAUGAAGUCGGAAUCGCUAGUAAUCGCGGAUCAGCACGCCGCGGUGAAUACGUUCCCGGGCCUUGUACACACCGCCCGUCACACCACGAGAGUUUGUAACACCCGAAGUCGGUGAGGUAACCUUUUAGGGGCCAGCCGC